UGACACGGCCAGCUCUGAUCUGUGGGGACUGGGUGUCACUGUCCUCUGGGGCCCAGGCUAGCUCGCAGAUGGUCUGGGGGCAAUGGCAAGAGUGGGGAACUGCCCGGCUUAGGGUAUAGCCUGAGCCAGAACCUCUGAGCCAAGUGCCCAGCACUGGAGACCCCUGGAGAUCAAUGUGGGUGACACAGUGCUGUGUGAGCCGUGGCUGAGCAGCGAGUGGCGAGGCCUGUUCUGCUCUGGAGCCCCAGCAGUGAGCAGGCUGGCAGGGGACAGAGGUGGGACAGCAGAUCCCCUGGAUGCCAGGGAGAGCCCACACCUGCCACCAAGUCUGCUCCGCUGCCCAAAUAGUUGGCGACUCGUGGAUCAGCUGGUUGUGAGGCAGUGUGGCCUUUUCAUCACCUGUAGGAUUUGUUGUGAUUUGUUUUGCCAACUGAAGUUUCACAGCCCAUGAGUCUUCGUCCUGGCGUCUCCUGUUCCAACUGUGAUAGCCUAAGCAAGUUGCAGACCUGGAUGUGUUCAAUGUCCCAUCAGCAUUCUCAGCUCCAAUGACAUAAAAACCUUCCCAGUCCUGGUG